AGCGGCGGACGAGGUUAGUAACGCGUGGGAAUAUGCCCUUCUCUAAGGAAUAGCCACUGGAAACGGUGAGUAAUACCUUAUACGCCCUUCGGGGGAAAGAUUUAUCGNAGAAGGAUUAGCCCGCGUAAGAUUAGAUAGUUGGUGGGGUAAUGGCCUACCAAGUCUACGAUCUUUAGCUGGUUUUAGAGGAUGAUCAGCAACACUGGGACUGAGACACGGCCCAGACUCCUACGGGAGGCAGCAGUGGGGAAUCUUGGACAAUGGGCGCAAGCCUGAUCCAGCCAUGCCGCGUGAGUGAUGAAGGCCUUAGGGUCGUAAAGCUCUUUCGCCAGAGAUGAUAAUGACAGUAUCUGGUAAAGAAACCCCGGCUAACUCCGUGCCAGCAGCCGCGGUAAUACGGAGGGGGUUAGCGUUGUUCGGAAUUACUGGGCGUAAAGCGCACGUAGGCGGAUCAGAAAGUAAGGGGUGAAAUCCCAGGGCUCAACCCUGGAACUGCCUCUUAAACUCCUGGGCUUGAGUUCGAGAGAGGUGAGUGGAAUUCCGAGUGUANAGGUGAAAUUCGUANAUAUUCGGAGGAACACCAGUGGCGAAUGCGGCUCACUGGCUCGAUACUGACGCUGAGGUGCGAAAGUGUGGGGAGCAAACAGGAUUAGAUACC
rnacentral:rRNA from 1 species